GCCGGGCGCGGUGGAGGGCGCCUGUAAUCCCAGCUACUCGGGAGGCUGAGGCAGGAGAGUUGCUUGAACCUGGGAGGCGGAGGUUGCAGUGAGCUGAGAUCGCGCCACUGCACUCUAGCCUGGGCGACAGAGCAAGACUCUGUUUCUU
rnacentral:SRP_RNA from 1 species